rnacentral:lncRNA from 1 species
AGACAGGGCUGCUGGGCUGCUUUCAGGAAGACCUAUUAUUCAGAUUUUGCAGGCAAAUUGUUGUGGAGUGUGUCAGACCAGCUUGCUGACUGAACAGAAAGCCAGUUUCCAAAAUAAAAAUGGGCUCCUAGCUUGAAAUUUUGAGCAGACUGUAAUUGCCCAGUGACACAGAACCUGCACCUGCAAGACCCCCCAGCCUUUGGGACCAACAUCUUAUGGAAACAUGAGAAACCACUACUUUCUGUGUUUCUGCCUUUUUACAUUUAGGUUUCACUUGACUUCCACCAAAAUCAAUAUGAUUUAAGAGUUGACAUCAGUGGGACCCUUCCUGAAUCUUUCCCGCUCGUUGUUGGGAUAAAAUACAGAAACACUGAAGCAAAGUCCUACAUGACAGACAGUAGGAAGUGAAGGAAUAGAAGAAGAAUCCUGUCCUACUGUGCUCUGAGACAUACAUGUCAAAAUAUACUCCAUAUAAUUCUUCCAGACUUUGCUUGUUUUGAUGAGAGCCUGUAAAACUGAGCUAUCAGUACUACAAUGGAGGUCCUUUGUAAACUAACCAUUUUGAUGCAGGAACUGGUGUAUGCCUAUCUCUAACAGUCUCUUAUAGCGCGAUAUAGCGUGGAGAAAAUGAAGCCUUGAACCGAUUCUUUGCUCAUUGGUGGUAUUCAGUGUCAUACAUGCCACAUAAACCAGCAUUUCAUAUGGAAGUGAAACAAAAUAAGGCCCUGGGUCAACUGCGUUAUCACAAAAAAGCAUUCAGGGAACUGUAAUGCAGUUUCCAUCCCUGUAAGCUUGCAUUAGUUCCCAACCACCACAGAAAUCAGAGUAGGUGAAAAGGUGGUUUAGGGAUGAUUUUGCCUCCUUAAUUCUUCAGAUGGUUCCAAGCCUGCAAGUACUUGCUGUUGCUCACUAGUGCUAUGAUGGUACUUUCUUACCCUGGCCAGCCUGGUCCAGCCAAGCCCUCCUUGAAGAGUGUUACAGUCCACCAGCAGCCACGGAGGAGCUCCUGAGUGAUGGCAUCACUUCCCGCACUUCUCUGCCUCACAGUUUCACCCCACUGAGAACUGCAAUAUUAUUUCAGAGUAUUCACAGAAGGCAUUCUGGGUCAGCACGGUGUUUGCAAAGAGUAGAUGCGGCAUGAAAAUACAAGGGAUGCGAUUGGAAGUGAUCCUGUUCUUCAAGCAUAAGUAACACUCCAGCACCAGCUUGGUACUGCACAGUGUCCCCUCUCAUCUGGCCUCGCACAGCCUG